CCUACGGGCGGCAGCAGUGGGGGAUAUUGCACAAUGGGGGAAACCCUGAUGCAGCGACGCCGCGUGAGUGAAGAAGUAUUUCGGUAUGUAAAGCUCUAUCAGCAGGGAAGAAAAUGACAGUACCUGACCAAGAAGCCCCGGCUAACUACGUGCCAGCAGCCGCGGUAAUCCGUAGGGGGCAAGCGUUAUCCGGAUUUACUGGGUGUAAAGGGAGCGUAGUCGGUUAUGUAAGUCUGGAGUGAAAGCCCGGGGCCCAACCCCGGGACUGCUUUGGAAACUGUGUAACUGGAGUACAGGAGGGGCAGGCGGAAUGCCUGGUGUAGCGGUGAAAUGCGUAGAUAUCAGGAGGAACACCGGCGGCGAAGGCAGCCUGCUGGACUGAAACUGACGUUGAGGCUCGAAAGCGUGGGGAGCGAACAGGAUUAGAUACCCGAGUAGUC
rnacentral:rRNA from 1 species